CAGAGCAUUGUGUCAAAGAAGGAAGGAUAAAUGAGAUAAUUGAUUCUGAUCCAAAGAUGCAGAUAUCACAAAGUUCUUUAUUGGCUUUUGUAAAAAUUGCAUGCCAAUGCCUCAAUAGAAAGCCUAGUUGCAGACCAACAAUGGCUGAAAUUGUGGUAGUUCUUGAGUUUGCAUUGUCAUUGCAGAAAAAUUCAGAUUCUACACUAGUUGAGGGGGCAGUUAUUGCAAGUGAUAGUGGACAAUAUUCUACAGCAAUGGAAGUAGUACAUGGUAAGGAUCAAAAUAAGCCAUUUCAGAUUAAUCAUACAAGGACAACACUCUCAAGGAAGGUCUGCCAGAUUCUCUCAACCUCGAUCCGGGCAUUAUCUGGUUAGUUAUUCGCACAUGUGCAUAUACCUUAAAAUAUUGUGUGGCGUUAUUGCUUUUUUAGGACAUUAAAAAAAAAUCAUAUUGGUCUGUCAGAAUUUUAUCGCUUCAAAGGACUAUUGUUAGUAAGUGUACAACAUGAGAAUUGGGAUUCUAUUUCAUGAACAAUUCAUAUUUUCAUCCUCUUUAGUGCCUUUACAAUUGCCAAGCAUUGCAGCCCUGAAAUGUCUUAAUGCAUCAGCAUUUCUUCAAGUUUAAAGUUUUAGUCUUUAUUUUUUUCCCUUCACUAGCAAAUUGUUCAUGAGAUUGACCCCUCAUUUCUGAAUUGGUCUCAGAGUUCCACUUGACCCUGUUCUUUACUAUAUUUGUCCAGUUUUUUUUUUUAAACCUUAGCUUCUGCUAAAGUUCCUCUCCACUUUUUUCAGUCAAUAGUCAUGCUAAGAAUUUAUUCUACAACGGAAACAAAAACAGCAGGGUAGAUAGCAGAGUGAGCCUGAAUAAAAUUGGCAUAGUUCCAGAGGCAAGGGGCCUAUUGGCAAGUGCAAAUUUAAAGAUGUUUAGCUUAGCUGAACUGGAAAGUGCAACAAGAGGCUUUAGUCCAGACUUUUUAUUUUGGGGAAAUAGUUAUGGAAGGAAUUUCAUGGGUUGGCUUGAUGAAGACACGCUGGCUCCCUCAAGAAUUGGCAUUGGGAUGUCAGUUGGUAUCAAGUGUAUGAAUCCAUUUGGAAGAUUCAGAACUAUGCAGGUAUUUUCUGUUAAAUUUUUAUGCUAAUUAGUACAAAUCCAGAUAUUCUUAACCGAAGUGUAUCAAGAAUGACUUUGAUGACAAAUUUUGGUAACAUAAAAUUUUCUAAUACGUCCAUUUGACACUUAAUUAGGUACUGAUGAAUGUUACUAUUUCUACGCCAAUCUAACUUUGUUUCUUAGUGCAACAUUCAUUUAGUUAUCAAAAAUAAAGAGUAGUUGAUGUUGUUGAGAUUUUUGGUUUUUGGAAUUUUGUGGUUGAAGGCAGAGGUGGAUCUAGUUGGAAAAUUUUAUCAUCCGAAUGUUAUAAAGCCUUUGGGCUUUUGUUUCAAAGGCCAGGAGCUCCUGCUUGUUUAUGAAAAUGCGCCAAAGGGAAACGCAGCAAGAUACACGUACAAAGGUGAGCACUGUGCUUUUGCACGUUGAGUUUCAGCUGUUGAUCGAUUAUAUAAACUCGUAUUCAAUAUCUAGAAACGUUUCGAUUCCAGUGAAGUUUCAAAAUUUGAUUUUACUACCUAAUCUGUACAUAUACAAGUAUGUUAAUGCAGAUGAAGGGAAAUCACUUUCCUGGGUUGUUUGGCUCAAAAUAUUAACAGGAGCAGCGAGAUAUCUGGAUUUUCUACAUUCCUCAGACGAUCAUAUCAUCUUUUGCGACUUUGCGCUCUCUAGUAUAUUCCUGGACUGGGUACAUUUAAAUUUGUAAUUAAGUACUAUAACUAAAUUUAAAGCAGGCCUCACAGAUGGCCAGCUUAAGCUCUUUACUGAUUUGCUCUUCUUCGUAAAAUUUAUCAUAAUAAUAGGAUUUCAGUCCAAAGAUUGGUUUUGGUGGAAACGCAAGAUUUGGCCCUGAGGAUGGCGAUACACUUGUGACAGGCAUUCCUAAUAUAAAUGCACUACGUUGUUCAGGAUCAGAAGCCUAUUUAUCUCCAGAAUACAGAGAAGCUGGUUUGUUAUUUUAUUUUAUUUUUGUUGACUGAUAAUAGUAUUUGGUUAGUUCUAAUGUUCAUAUUCUGACAAACAGGCCACCUGAGCUCGAAGACCGAUGUUUAUGCUUUUGGCGUGGUGCUACUGGAAAUUCUGACAGGAAUGCGGGUGGUUGACGCUGACAGGAGGAAUAAGAAUAAUAAUUUGGUGGACAAGGUCAGACCUAUUCUAGCAUGCGAAAGAAAGUUUAAGACGGUUGUGAACCUAAAGCUGCUAGAGAAAGAGAAUUGUCCACAGAUUGUACACUCAAUUUUAUCAAAUGUUCCUGCACUUGCAUUAAAAUGUCUUGAUCUUGACCCUAAAAAACGACCCUCAAUGAGACAAGUAGUGGAGACCUUGGAAGAGCUUAGUAACAUUAUAAAGUAAUUGAUACACUUUAGAAUGCAUCUUCUCCUUACAAAUUUUGUUAGGUUUGUUUAAGGAAGUGAGUUAAGUUGUUAGGUAAAAGUGAAAAGAUAUCUGGAAGAACAGUGUUUUCACCAUAUUCUGGUUUGAGUGUCUGUGAAUUUGUUCACCUGUAAAUUUGAAUAAAGGUUAUUUCUACUCUACACUACUAAACUUAAUAAAAGCAUCUAUCACUCUUUAAAUGUUCGCCAUAAGUACAAAUCUAUGUUUCUGGUGUGGUGUGCUGAUCAGAAAGUAAUAUAUAAUUUGCAAUGCAAUCCCUUCUCAUUCCUCAACUGAAAACACAACACAGUCACACAGCACAUUUCGAGGGGUUUCCUCUUUCCAACAGAGAUCCUCAAGGCAAGAAAGAGUGUUCUUAUUUUGUUGCUCUAAUUUUCUGUUCCAAAGUAUUUACAUAAUCUGGUAGAUGUAAACAUAACCGUGGAGUGUAGUAUUUACGUAUUCUAUCUGUCAGCUUCAAUACUUGGAUUUUUAUACAAAAACUCCAACUAUUGAUUUAUUAGAGCUCUGCAAGUGUCUAUUAUCGUGCGUGUUGAUAACUCCAAAUCUCGUCUAGGGUUCCAAUGCACUGUUCCGGGAAGCUUCAGGCAAGACCUAACCUGCAAAACAACGCUACACGGGGGGUGACAUCCCGUGAGGCGCCUCCGGCGUGAUAAUCAGUGAUUUGGAUGUGCUUGACAAGUAAGGGAAAUCAGAGAGUUUUCACUCUAAAUAUAUGGCGAUAGAUGCUUUUGAGAGAGUUUUGGGGAGAAAUUUGCACUUACCUUCCACUUUGGCUGGGGAGUGCUUUAUAUAGGCCCUUGGCCGCCACUGUUGCUACAGUGGCGGGAAUGGGCCUGUAGGCACCCCCCAGCAUGGGUGGCUGUUUUGGUGCAGCUACUGUCCUUUUUUCUGUCCUUUUGGGAUUUGUGCAUGCUUAUUAUCCUGUUUGCCUUGUACUUGGUAAUGAUGAGGCCUGACUUUGGGGACCUUCAAGUCCUGUAGCGGGGGCGGGUACUGUUGGCGGUUACUGUAGCGUGGUACCUUAUCAUUGCCCCCCUACUCCUUCCAUCUGCUUUAGCGGGUGGGGGGAGUAAGUAAAAUCUUUUCCGCGUAGGGUGCAUUUCCGGGUUGUAUUUGGGCGAGCAUGUCGUUAUGAGCAUCUGGGUUGAGGUGACGGGUUAUUGGCGCUAUUUGUCCGGGUUGUUUUUGCUGGGCCAUAGAUUUCAAAAUUUUCAAAAAGGUGCGAAGCCUUUUGCCGCCUGGUCUUGUCGUUCCGUAUAGGGAAUGUACGGUUUUUCCACGUGGCGUGCUGUGAGUGGGUGAUGGCGUAACUGCAUGCAAGGUUAAUUUGACUGAUGGUAUUUUGUGCGGAUAUUUGUGCCAAUUAACUACUGGCACAGAUACAUGUAUUAGGCUUUUGACUGGGGUGAUGGAUGUGUAUUUUUUGGCGCUUCAACUGCCUAGGGAAGUAACGGCUGAAGCUCAAAGGGCUGGGUAGUGCUGCCUAUAUAAAGGGAGUUUUCGUCCGGUGAAAAGUGCUCAGCUCAUCGUUUAUCUUUGUAAAAGCUUGUUUCUGCAAACUUGGUUAGUGUUCGAUUCUAGGCUUUUCCGGCGUAGUGAUCCUUUGUCUUUUGUGUUGUUCGUUUGAUCGGAACUUUUAACCAGUCGCCUCUUCUUGGUUUGUCUUGUGCAGGUGAUAUGUCUUCCGACAGUUCUGCGGCUAGUUCGAGUUUGUAUUAUGGCCGGUCGAUCGAGUGGCGCCGGCGGCAGGAUCUGAUCAACCGGAUUCGCCGGUUGCCGGCCGAGCUUAUCACGGUGAGAAUUGCGGAGGCGUUGGAGGACGAGGAGCAGUCCUAUGAGUCUGCGCUGGAGAUUGUUUACCACGAGCUUUUGCUUCCGGGUCGUGCCCGGGACGCGGAGGAGGUGGACGGACGUUUGAUGGUGCCGAUUGACAACCCGCCGGUCCCUCCGGGUGUCACGGUGCGGGAGCGGUUGCGGGACGCGGAGGCGGAGAGAGAAGGCCUGCUUACCAGGCUGGAAGCUGUAGAUGAGCGGAUAGCGGAGCUGAGGGCUCAGCUUCCUUAGGUAGUUUCGAUGCGGGAAUAGCCCGUGUCUGAUUGUAAUUUUAUUCCUGUCCUAAUGCAAAGCUGUUUAUUGGAUUCGCCUAUCGCCUUGUUUUGUCUUUGUUGUGUUUUGCCCCUGCGAUAAGGUUUUAAAGCGAACAAAAUACAGAGUGAAAAAUGAGGUUGGUAGCCCCCAAAUAGCGGGCACGGCCAAUAGUGAAGGAAUUAAAAAUUUGAGUAAAAAUGAAAAUGUGCCCCCCAAGUAUUGGACGCGGCCAAUAAUGAGGGAAGAUAAAAAUUUGAAUAAAAAUGAAAAUGUGCCCCCCAAGGAUUGGACGCGGCCAAUAAUGAGGGAAGUUGUAAAAAUUUGAAUGAAAAUGAAAAUGAGCCCCCCAAGUAUUGGACGCGGCCAAUAAUGAGGGAAGUUGUAAAAAUUUGAAUGAAAAUGAAAAUGAGCCCCCCAAGUAUUGGACGCGGCCAAUAAUGAGGGAAGUUGUAAAAAUUUGAAUGAAAAUGAAAAUGAGCCCCCCAAGUAUUGGACGCGGCCAAUAAUGAGGGAAGUUGUAAAAAUUUGAAUGAAAAUGAAAAUGAGCCCCCCAAGUAUUGGACGCGGCCAAUAAUGAGGGAAGUUGUAAAAAUUUGAAUGAAAAUGAAAAUGAGCCCCCCAAGUAUUGGACGCGGCCAAUAAUGAGGGAAGUUGUAAAAAUUUGAAUGAAAAUGAAAAUGAGCCCCCCAAGUAUUGGACGCGGCCAAUAAUGAGGGAAGUUGUAAAAAUUUGAAUGAAAAUGAAAAUGAGCCCCCCAAGUAUUGGACGCGGCCAAUAAUGAGGGAAGUUGUAAAAAUUUGAAUGAAAAUGAAAAUGAGCCCCCCAAGUAUUGGACGCGGCCAAUAAUGAGGGAAGUUGUAAAAAUUUGAAUGAAAAUGAAAAUGAGCCCCCCAAGUAUUGGACGCGGCCAAUAAUGAGGGAAGUUGUAAAAAUUUGAAUGAAAAUGAAAAUGAGCCCCCCAAGUAUUGGACGCGGCCAAUAAUGAGGGAAGAUAAAAAUUUGAAUAAAAAUGAAAAUGUGCCCCCCAAGUAUUGGACGCGGCCAAUAAUGAGGGAAGUUGUGGCGGGAAGAUUAGGGGGCGGUGGCGGUUCGGUUGUGGGUGUUGAAGUUGUGCGGAAUUGUAGCUUGUGGUUGUCCGUGUGCAUUAAAUGCACUGCACAGACAUUCACUGAGGAGACUGUUGACCGCUUGGUUUCCAGGUGCGCUUGAGUUAUAUGUGACCUAGGAAACGCCUGUGGGAAGUUUGAACGCUUUGGGAACACCAUUUGCUUUUAUUACGGGGCUAUGGCUGUGGCUAUAUAAAGGCUAGAGAAGUUCAUUUGUGCACUUCAUCUGUGCGUUUAUCUUCUUUCUUCUCUUCUAAUCGUCGAAUCGUUCUUUUUCCUGGGAAAGUACUGUAAAAAAUGUCUGAUAACUCGUCGGCAUCUGUGAGCAACGGGAGUGAUGUGUCCAGUGGGAGCUAUAGGACGCAGAUGCGUUGGAUGAGGAGAGUUGAACUUCUUACUCUGUUCAAUGAUUUGCCGACCGACCCCUUUGCUAGGAGGUUGGCUGAUAUGCUGGAGGAUGGCCUUCCCUAUGAUGAUCUCCUUGAGGAGGUGUAUGAGAGGAUGUUGGUCCCGGGACGCGGACGGGCGGCGGUGCAGAUCAAUGGGCGGUGGUAUGUGCCCAUUGAUAGGCCGGAACCCGCGCCGGAGGCUACGGUGGCGGAGAGGUUGACCGCGGCCCGGGAAGAGAGGGACGAGCUGCAGGAGCGGUUAGAGGAUGUUCAAGCCCGCAUUGCGGACUUGGAGGCUCAGCUGUAGAAUAGGGCUUUCUUGUCGCGGACUGAGUCCGCUUUGGUUUGUAAUGAAAAAGAACCUUGAUAUAUAUAUGUGAAGUGUUUUACUUUCCCGCUGGCUUUUUGCUUGCUUGUAUUUAUGUUUUUUGUCUUCGACCAAUUUAUGACUGGUAAUAAAUUGAGUAAUAAAUGGGGAAUAAAAUUGAAUGCGAGAAUGUUGUGGGUGAGAUUUGAUAAGUAGAAUGGCGUAUAUGUAUUUGUGUACAUGGGUAAUCGAAGAGGCACCGGUUUUCGAAGUUGGGGGUUUUUUGGGGAUGAAGUACGGUUUAUGCGGCUUUUGAGGAGGGGUGGGUGUGGUGGUGCAGUUUUUUAGCCAAUCGUGCACGUGCACGUGGCCAUGCAGUUAAUGCAUCUCUUGGUAACUGUGGGGGUAUAUAUGUAUGUCUUAAAACCCAGUUCUGAGUAUAUUUGUCUGAAGCUUUAGUUUUUCCGAAGUGCUCUGCUUUUUUCAUCUGUAAGUUGCGAGAGGUCGUCCGGAGGAGUAAAGUGCCACCGUUCUCUUUGUCUUUUCCGUUAACAGGUAAGCAUCGCCGGCGAUCCUUUAAGUUUAUGCUUGUCUUUGCUCGUGAUGUUGCUGCUUAGUCAUAUUUUGCUGAUGCUGUUAGACUUUGCUUUGUUCAUCGCGUUUGUUGCCGCUCUUACUGUAUUUUGCGUAUUUGGUUGCUCGCCGGCGUUUAUACGUCUUGUAAUCGUGUUGUUGCGCCGUAGUGUGGGUAGAUCGGUGUUUUAGGGCUUGUCGUUUCAGUUUUUUUGAAAUGUCUGAAUGUCUGUGUUUUCGUCUUUGAUUUGUGGUGGUAGUAUUGAAGCGUUUGUUGUCGUGGCUGCCGUCUUUACGGUGGCGUUUGUGGUCUGAGGGCGGUGCAGCGACCUCGAGAUUGUCGUCUCGGGUUGUGCACCAUUAGGGUUAGGUUGGAGUUUUAAGGUUUGUAAUAUGCGGCGGUUGCACGUGUUUGUACUGUAGGUGUUUUUUAUCUGUCUGUAUGCCGCUAUUGUUGACGGGAUGGAGACAAUGUAUGUAACGGGCUGUGCUCUGUGUGGCCUUCUUGCAGGUAAUUGAUGACUGCUGUGGCUGAAGAGGUGCGUCUGGAAGCUAUUCAUCCGGGUUCUGAAGAAGAAAUGGCUGCUAUGCCCGGGGAGGAUUGUUUUGAUCCCGUGACGAGGGAGGCAAGGCCGCUGAUCAGUUUGUCUGGGCGAUGGCGGGAUUUUCCGCGGUUUACCAUUCCACUCCCGCCGAAGGACCUGCAUUACAGGUUCUUUGAGGAUCAGAGUAGUUUCUACCGGACUUUCAAGAUACGCUCAGUGGAGAUAAACAAUGCCAAAGUGGAGCAAGAGCUGGCAGGCUGUGAUCAUCUCCAGAGGAGGAGUACGUUCAAUGCUGCGGAGUAUGGGCCAUAUAUGGCGAAGUUGUUUAGGUUUGGGAGUGACUAUAGCUGGAGGCCUGCCCGUGAGGAGGAGAGGCUACAUCAUCGUGGUGCUGGCGGGUCUAUAUGCGUGACCCUCGAACAACUGAAGGCGGGUCUAAGGUUCCCGAUGCACCGCUUCAUGUGGGAUCUUGUCUGCGUGCAUUUGAAGUGCUCCAUCUCGCAGAUCACGCCGAACGCGAUCCGGGCUAUUAACUGGUUUAUAGCGAGUUGCACCGCUUUGGCGAAGCAGCCUACCUUUAAGGCAUUCUUUCACCUAUUUAACAUCAAGACGAGCACGGCCAAGCCGUUUGUGGAGUUGCCUUUUGCCAAUAGGAGCAGCGUGAUUGGCAGAAAGCUUGUGGACUAUAUGCCCUUUGAUUUUCCGAAUAGCAUGACGGACUGGCAGUAUGAGUUUUUGGUGGUGGAGGGUGGCGAGCUGGCGUGGAUGCCUAAUAUGGCUCGGAAAGUGGAGAAGAGCUAUCGCGCGCCGCGGGAUCAAUUGUCCGAGGUUGACGUGGAGAUACUGGUUGGCAUUACAAAGGCGUUGGGGAGCACCUGGACCAAGAGUGCAUUCUUUGAGAACGGGAGGCUGCAACUAUACCUGCGUGAGUGUUUACUUUACCAAGUAUUGGGUGAGUUUGUUUUGUGUUUGGUGGGUUUUUGGCUUUAUAGUGUUGUGAUAUGUUGCUUGAUUUUGCAGUUCUGGACCCGCGAUUGACGGAGUUGCCGCCCCUGGAGGGCAUGACUGCUGAAGAAGAGGUAAAAUUGCUCACGGGGCUGCUGAACCGAAAUCCCCCUAGGUAUAGGGGUGCUGCCCGGGUUGAAGGUGAGGGGCGGUCGCAGGCGAGGCGACGCACGCCGGCUCAAAGCCGAGCGGGACGCGCGGCUGCCAGGGCGACACGGGGGGCGGUGGUGCAACCUGCGGGAACGGCCAUUGGUGCCUCUACUUCGGGGACGGCGUCCCGAGGCCGCGUGCCGCUUUUGAGGGAUGAACCGGAGCCCGUGUCUGAUCAGGAAGAAAAUGUGCCGAGUGAGGAGGUGGAAACCCAAGAUGUGUUUGGGGAUGCGGAGGAUGAUGAGGAGGUUGUUGAAAAGAGCCCGGAGAUCCAUGAGAUUGCGGACAGCGAAGAGAGAGAAGGUGGCGGGCAUUCCACCGCGGGCGAGUUUGACGAUGGUCUGGGCGGUGAGGGUGAAACCGAGGUCAGCACACAGGCUGGCGGGAAAGCUGUGGAGGCGGGAUCAUCCCGUGCAGUUGAAGAAAAAGAGAGUGUUGAGGCUGGCGGGACGCCAACUGUAUUGAUGCUGGAGAACCCGACGACAGAGGGACAGACCCCCGAGGUUCCCAGACGGAGGAAACGGGUUCGUAGUGCUGGCAGUGGUCGAAAGUUGACCUUGAGUGCCCAGAUUGGGCGCCGUGUGAAGCGCCGCGGCAAUGUGGAUUUGAUGGCGGGUGUCAGUGCUGGGGAUGCGUCCGGGACCGAAGAUGAGGUGGGCCCUGUGGAUGCCCGCCGUGUGGGGCGAGGUAACUUGUUUGGAGCCGGGCCACCAGGGCAGGUUGGCCUCACUGAGGAUGAUUUUGAAAAGUUGGACGGGUUGGGAUGGAAGAAGCUGUUGCGUCGUUCCGAGCUCCAUCACAGGAAGGUAUGUGUUUGUGCAGUUGCUUUUGUACUUAGCGUUUAAUUUUGUGUAUGUGGGUUGUGAUAUGUUUUCUGAUGGUUGUUGCAGGCUCGAGGGUAUGACUUGGCGUUAAGCACCCGGGGAGAAAUGUUCCGCCAGGACAACAUUGCCCUGCGGAAGCAGGUUGCUGAUCUUGAAGGUCAAAAGAAAACCUUGGUGGAGAACUUUCAUGCAGUCGAGGAUCAAAAGAAAGAGCUCGCCCGAGAGAUGGAGACUCUCAAGGCUGACUGGCAGGUGCUUUCGGAUCGAAGGGGCCUUGUGGACAAGGAGUUGGAGACUCAAAGGCUGUUUUGGGAGGGGAAGGAGGCGGCCUCGGAGCGGACCUUCACCGAACUUCGUAAGCGUGCCGAAGAAGCUGAAGCUAUGGUUGCGUCGCGACCCACUGAGGAGAUGGCCAUCCGGAAAUAUCAGGCCAGUGUUGAAUAUCGGGCUGCCUUGGCCAAAGCUUUUGAAGAGGGAGUCUCUUCUGUGAAAGAAAGUGCAGAGUAUUUGAGCUUAGUGUCGGGCGCGGGUGGUUCUUCUUCCGGUGUUGACGCUUUGGAAAAGCGGGUAGCAGACCUGGCAUCCUCCUUGAAGAAGGCAAAGUCUAAGGCACACAAGAGGAAGAAGAAGAACAAGAAGCUUGCCGACCGGGUGAAAGAGCUUGAGAGCGCGGGUGGUAGCUCUGGAGGUAGUGCUGGGACAAAGAGUCCAAAAGCUUUGGAAACCGUGGAUGAGAAUCCCGCGGCGGAGGAAACAGAGGUGUCCCGCUCCGCGGCUGAGGAAAGGGGGGAUCCGGACACGGUCAUGGCUGACGCAGAGAAGCAACCUGGAACCGAAGUUGCCACCCCGGAGGGAGAUGAAGAGCUUGUUGAUGACUCAACCGAGACCCCCACCAUUUAACUCCUUUGUCUCUAAACUGUUGCUUUUUAAGUGUCGUUUGAACUUGGCUGGUUGGAUUAUUUGAACUUAUUCUUUUGGGACUGUAAUUUGCCGUACAAUGGCGGGCGACUUGUGUGUGGAUUUGUGCUUGCUUAUAAUAUGCUUUUGUUUGCUGUUGUAGUUGCGUGUAUGUGUUUGUGCUUUGUGUUGCUUGCUCGUUGUUACAGGUCGGAGCUUUGCCGUUGCCAGGGCAUGGUUGCAGAUACGCGGCCAUGCCUUGCUAUAUUUUUGUUGUUGCGUGUGGAUUUAGUCUAGGGGAGGGAUGGCGGUGGUCGUCCUUCCCCCUAGGCGAUAUGCUUGUUUCUUGACAGGUGGCUGCCAGGCACGUGCGUGGGAGUAGUAUAAAUAGGCUGCCCCCCAAACGAAGGUAUCACGCUCCUUCACUCUUUUGUUGCUCUAUCCCUGUGUGUUGCAAAAGUUGUUUUAAUCAUGUCCAAUCUUGUAGGCUCUCGCUGUUAUUGUGAUCGUCCUGUUGUGAUGAAGACCAUCUGGGGUGGCCGGAAUGCUGGGAGGCGUAUGGAGGCUUGUGUUGCGGGUGAUUGUUACUAUGAAGUGUGGAUUGACGAGCCGCUCAGCUCUCGUGCUCGAGGUGCCCUUGAGGAGUUGAUGCAGAAGAAUAAAGACCUGCAUGCAUCUUAUCACAAGAAGAUGGAGCGUGUUCGUGCCCGCCAGGUGAAGCGCCGCGGUGCGAUCUGGGCGCAGUUGCAGCUUAUUCACAAUGAGCUUUCCGCGAGUGACUCGAGCGAGGAGGAUGAGGCAUUUUAGAUGUUGCUAUCGCCGUGCCAGUUGUUGUACUUCCUAAGUACCCCCGCUGUAUGUUUCGGGGGUCCAUUGUUGUUUGUAUUUUUCGCGUGUGUGCGUUUGUAAUAUGCUUGGUAUACGUCGAAGUGGCUUGACCCGGGUAGCGCUGUUCCCGCGGCGGCCGUUAGCUGAUCUUUGUAAGAUAUUGAUUAUAUAUUAUAAGUUGUCUUUGUGUCUUGUGCGUAAAUGUGCUUUUAUGUGCUUUUUGUUGAGAUGUGCUUUAUAUAAUGUGCUUUUUAUGUGCUUCUUGUUGGAUGAAUCAUCAGGACGCAAAUUAGCGGAGAACAUCGUUAAUAAUAUAUAUAAGUCCAAAAGGAUGCCCGUUUACAUGCUAUGAAUCAUUAGGCCGUGUCUGCUACUGAUAAUAUUUCUUGAGCUUUUCUGCGUGCCAAGUAUUGUUGACCUCCGUGCCAUCCAAGUGAGAUAGCUUGUAAGAGCCGGGACGGAUGACCUGUGCUAUUUUAUAUGGACCUUCCCACUUGGGCAUUAGCUUGCCCGUGUGGCGCGGGUCUGAUGCCUCGGUUGCUCUGUUGACUAAAUCGCCCACCUGGAAUGCCCGCAUUCGAACCCGCUUUCCGAAGAAGUCCCUUGUCUUUUCUUUGUAAAGCUCCAUUUUUUGGACUGCGUCCGCUCGGACCUCGUCCAGUAGUUCCAAGUUAGUCCGCAUUCCCUCAAUGCUGUCGUUGAUGUUGAAGUUUUGCAUGCGGAAGGAUGGUGAUCCUAUUUCCACUGGUGCCAGUGCUUCUGCUCCGAAUGCUAGUUUAAAUGGCGUUUCCCCUGUGCUUGUUUUCUGCGUGGUGCGGUAGGACCAUAGGACUUGGGGUAGGUGUUCUGGCCAUUUUUUCUUGGAUUCUGUGAGGCUUUUUUCUAACCCGCGAAGGAUGAUGCGAUUUGUGACUUCGACUUGUCCGUUGCUUUGCGGGUGGCAUACUGAUGCUUUCUUGUGCUUGAUCCCGUGAUCAGAGAGGAAGGUGGUGAACUUCUUUCCUACGAACUGUGUCCCGUUGUCAGAGAUGAGAGUCGUGGGGAUACCGAACCGGGUGAUUAUCUGGUUGCGGACAAACCGGAUUGCGUCUUCUUGGGUGAUGGUCCUGAGUGCUUUGGCUUCUGCCCAUUUGGUCAUAUAAUCGAUGGCCACCAUGACAAAUUGGAGUUCCCCGCGGGCUUUGGGGAAUGGUCCCAUAAUGUCGAUUCCCCACACUGCGAACGGGAUAGGGGAGAGUAUUGAGACUGGGAUUGCGGGGGCUGCGCGUGGCACGUUGCUAAAAAGCUGGCAUUGGUGGCAUGCUCUGACAAAGGCUUUGCAGUCUUUUGCCAUGGUUGGCCAAUAAUACCCUUGGCGCAAGAUUUUAUGUGUAAGGGCUUUGCCCGCCAUGUGAUCCCCGCAUAUGCCCUCGUGAACUUCCCGCAUGCAGUAUGUUGCUUCAUCGUCAUCGACGCAUUUGAGAAUGGGGGAGUCGAAGUUUCGACGGUAGAGAACAUCGUCCUGUAGGAAGAACUUGGCUGCGUGUGCCUUGACCUGCCGGGCUUUGCUAUGCUCGGUUGGCAGAGUUCCGUUCCGGAGGUAAGCGACGAGGGGGGUCAUCCAGUUGUCCUCGUUGAGCGUAAUGCUGAGCUGUUCCUUAGCCUCUGUUGAGGGAUGCGGGAGAGAUAGGAAGUAGACGGGACCAUCCGAGGUCGUGUAUUCCCCCUCUAGGAGCUUGGAUAGGCUGUCAGCCAGUGAGUUGUCUUCCCGGUCUAUUUGGUGGAGCUGGUAGCUUUUGAGUGUGGACAAACGGGUUUGCACUUGUUGUUGGUAUUGAGCUAGAGUAGAAUCUUUGACCGCGUAGUCUCCCGUCGUCUGGCGGACUACUAGUUGGGAGUCGCUGUAUAUGGUUAGGUUCUGCAGUUGUAAGGUGAUGGCGAGGUCUAAACCUGAAAGCAGGGCCUCGUACUCUGCCUGGUUGUUGGUGGCCUUGAAGUUGAGUUGUAGGGCUUGCUUUAUACAAAAACCAUCCGGGCUAAUGAGUAUGGCUCCGGCUCCGCACCUGGUGUUGGUGGCGGAGCCGUCCACGUAAAGCUUCCACCCUUCCGCGACCGGGAGGGGUUGUUGGUUGUCCGGUGUUUCUUCGUCGGGCUUAGCAAAGUUACACUCCACGACGAAGUCUGCCAGGGCCUGUGCUUUGAUCGCGGUUCUCGGGACGUAAGUGAGGUGAAACUGACUGAGCUCGAUCGCCCAGUUAAUAAGUCGUCCUGACAACUCGGGCUUGUGGAGGAUUUUGCGCAGGGGUUGAUUCGUGACGACCCGUAUCUCUCGCCCCUGGAAAUAGUGGCGAAGCUUUCUGCUUGCCAUGACAAGGGCAAGGGCUGUUUUCUCUGUAUUGGGGUAGCGGGUUUCUGCGUCCUUUAGUGUUUGGCUGACAUAGUAAACCGGCCUUUGCACCGUUUCUGCUUCCUUAAUAAGCACUGCGCCCACUGUUUUGUCGGAAACCGCCAGAUAUAGUGACAAUGGUUCGCUAGGGGACGCGGUCGUCAAGAGCGGCGCGGACGCCAGGUACGUCUUGAGGUCCUCAAAGGCCUUUUGGCAUUCCUCUGUCCAUGUGAGCUUUUUGGUUUUGAGUGCUCCUUUGAGGGUGUCGAAGAAAGGGAGGCACCGCUCCGCAAGCUUGGAUAUGAACCGUCGUAAUGCUGCGAGGCGUCCCGUGAGGCGUUGAACGUCCUUGAUGGUUUUUGGGGGCUGCAUGUCAAUGACGGCUUGGAUUUUUUCCGGGUUGGCCUCGAUCCCGCGUUGGCUUACCAGGAAACCCAAGAAUUUUCCCGCACCCAGGGCGAAAGUGCAUUUGUCGGGGUUAAGUUUCAUGUUGUGUUUUCUGAGGUUUGCGAAGCAUUCCCGCAGGUCAGUCAAGUGCGUCUCUUGGAGCAUAGAUUUGACAAUCAUGUCAUCGACAUAGACUUCCAUGUUGCGCCCUAAUUGCGGUGCGAAGAUCUUAUUCAUCAAUCAUGUCAUCGACAUAGACUUCCAUGUUGCGCCCUAAUUGCGGUGCGAAGAUCUUAUUCAUCAUGCGUUGGUAGGUGGCGCCUGCGUUGAUGAGACCGAAAGGCAUGACCUUGUAGCAGUACACUCCUCUAUGGGUGAUGAAAGCGGUUUUCUCGCAGUCUUCCGGUGCCAUUUUAAUCUGGUUGUACCCUGAGAAGGCGUCCAUGAAGCUGAGCAUGAGGUGCCCGGCCGUCGCGUCUAUGAGUUGAUCUAUGCUUGGUAACGGGUACGGGUCCUUAGGGCACGCUGCGUUAAGGUCUGUGUAAUCGACGCACAUGCGCCAUUUCCCGUUAGCCUUUUUGACGAGCACAACGUUUGCCACCCAAUCCGGGUAUGAGACCUCGCAGAUCAAAUCUGCGUCCAACAGUUUAUCUAUUUCCGCGUCGAUCGCUUUUUGGCGGUCAGGCGCGAAGUUGCGCCGCUUCUGCUUUUUUGGCGCCUUCUUGGGAUCGACACUCAGUUUGUGCAUGGCCACGGAUCCAUCGAGGCCGGGCAUGUCUUUUGGGCUCCAUGCAAAAACGUCUGCGUACUCGCGCAGCAGAUCUGUAAGUUCCUUCUUGAACACUGACUCCAAACCGGCCCCAAUGCUGAUUUUUCGUGUGGGGUCGGUGGGAGAGAGCUGAAUUUGCUCCGUUGCCACAGCGGGUUUUGCCACGGGCUGCUCAUCCCGUAACAAGCAUUUCUUGAGUUCGGCGUCCAUGCGUGGGGGCUCUUCGUGCGUGGGAUCAUGGGUUUCUAUGACUUGCACCUCUCGGUGCCGUUUGUUCUUCCUUUGGAGGUUUUCAGCGUGUUUCUUUCGCUUCUCUUGCUUUCGUUUGUCGGCGUUUUCCCGCUUGAUAUUCCCGGGCUCGGUGGCCGCCAGGACCAGGGCUAUCCCAUAACACCGUUUUGAGGUUUCAGAGUCCCCUUUGAUUUCGCCUAUUCCCGUGGGAGUUGGAAACUUCAUUUUGAGGUGUGAGGUCGAGGGGAUUGCUCUGAGCGCAUUCAGGGUUGGUCUCCCUAGGAUCAUGUUGUAUGAGGAGACUGCGUUAAUGAUGUAAAAUUUGAUUGUCUUGGUGAUUUGGUGGGGUGGUGACCCGAAGAUGACCGGUAGAUGGGCGACUCCCGCUAUGGGCACAGCGUUGUGUCCAAAACCAUAUAAGGGUGUCUCUUCAAGGCAGGGUUCGGGAACCGCGUUGUUGAGGCGCAGCCGAUCCCAGGUGUGCUGGAAGCAGAUGUCUGCAGAGGAGCCAUUAUCCACCAAUAUUCUUUUUACCUCAUUUUCUGCUAUGACCAGGGAUACGACUAGGGCUUCGUUGUGAUCCGGGUUGAUGCCCUCGUAGUCUGCAUGUGUGAAGUAUAUGGGGCUGUGCACCUCUCCCUGGGCGAUUGCAUACACUGAAGGCCCGCUAGGGACAGGGGGCGUGACGGUGCCGCCGAAGACGGGAUUGACCACAUUUCUACCGUCUCGGUGGUCCUGUGGCGGUGGUGGUGGCAAAUCGCGAGGUAGGUACUGGUUUAGGUUUCCCGCUUUAGCUUGUCGUUCCAGGAAGUGUUUGAGUGCGAGGCAGCUAUCCGUAGAAUGUCCAUGUGUUUCGUGAUACUCGCAGUGGCGUUCUUUGUUCCGGUCCUCCGGGUUUGUCCACAUGGCUGGCGGUGCCUGGUAAAAGGGCUUGUUUUUAAUGUCUCUUAGUAGGGCAGACCGGGUGAGGCUGAACUUAGUCCAAUUAGGCUCAGGGCGUUUCUCGGGGCGGGAACCCACCGCGGGCCCCAGACGAUCCUUCACAGAUAUGUUGUUGUUUUUGUUGGCAGGAGGUCCAUGCGUAGUUUGAACUUGCAUUUGUUCCACGGGCUUUUGGUACGGGGCGUGUCGCUCACGGGGGUAGUGUUUCUGAUUGCUAGCGGGAGGUGCUCGUGCCCGUUUCAACACGGCCAGAGAUUCCGCUUCCGUGACGGCUUGGGACGCCAGGUCAUAUGCCUUAGCCAAUGUCGUGGGCUGUACUUCCAUCAGCUUGACAACGUAUUUCUCGCAUUCAUACGGGUCAAGACCUCUUUUCAAGUGGACGAGGGCUUCUAUCUCGUUUACACAGAUGAUCUUAUUGACCGCUUCCUUGAAGCGGUUGAUGUAGCUUUGCAGGGAUUCCCCUUCUCUUUGCCCGAUGGUUUGUAAGUAGGAAGUGUGCACCUCUUGGGGUUGGUUUGCCCUAAAUUUGUUCAGGAAUGCCCUUUUGAAGUCGGCCCAAGUGUCUAUGCUCCUGGCCGGGACGCGACUGAACCACCGCUGUGCGCUUCCCCUCAGGGUGGCGGCGAAGAAGCGGCAUUUGGUGAGGUCGCGGUACUCGUAGUGCAGGGCCAGUUGGUUGAAGUAGCUGAGGUGCUCCUCGGGGUCUCCCAUCCCGUCAAAGGGGUUUAGGUUGAGAUGCUUGAUGUGCCUUUGCUUGGGUUCGUCCUCUAGUCUCUUUGUAAAAGGGGAUUCUCCGACUUCACCACUGGUGCCAUCUUCGAGGCGCUUUUUUAGGGCCAUGAGCGUAUUGAGCAUGUCCGCGUUGGAGGGGUUGACGCUCCCUGUGUCGUUGCGGGCCUCAGGGGUCUCGGUGCGACGGCCUUCGAGACGGGCGCGGGCCUUUUCGUAUUCUGCUUGCUUGGCUUCGAGCUCUUUUUUCAGAUCCCGGAUUCUCCUAUUUUCCUUCCAGGUUGAGGGGCGGUGUUGUUGACCACCGUGGUUUUUGUGGUUCGUGUUUUGUGACGGUCCGAGGUGUGAUGCUGUGGAUUUUUGUGGGUGAGGCUGGCUAUGAGCUUCACUUCGCUCCUCCUCCUCUUGGGGUUCAUGGUUUCCGCGUGCUUCCCCUUUAGGUUGGGGGAAGGCGGAUGCUACUUUCAGCAUUAUGUCGAUCUGUUGCUGCGUGAAUUUUGUCAGAUCGAUGGGCCCUCCCUGAGUGAGCGGGGGAGGUACUGCGUUGGUGUUUGGUCCCGCGUUGGGGAUGGAGUUCCCGGAUGGAGAUAAGUUUUGCAGGAGUACGUCGUCGCCGACUACUUGAACGUUAGGGUCGGUAGGGUCGGGGUUUAGCAGGUUGGUGUUUUGCAUGUUUGGGCGAGGGUUUGCCAUGUUGCAGGUCUGACUUACUAUAAGUCCGGAUCGAGUUUGCAUAAAUUUGCCCGACUUCUAGGGAUGCGAUUAGGUUUCUCUUAGGGAGAAGCCCCCUUCCUGGCGCGCCAAAUGAUAACUCCAAAUCUCGUCUAGGGUUCCAAUGCACUGUUCCGGGAAGCUUCAGGCAAGACCUAACCUGCAAAACAACGCUACACGGGGGGUGACAUCCCGUGAGGCGCCUCCGGCGUGAUAAUCAGUGAUUUGGAUGUGCUUGACAAGUAAGGGAAAUCAGAGAGUUUUCACUCUAAAUAUAUGGCGAUAGAUGCUUUUGAGAGAGUUUUGGGGAGAAAUUUGCACUUACCUUCCACUUUGGCUGGGGAGUGCUUUAUAUAGGCCCUUGGCCGCCACUGUUGCUACAGUGGCGGGAAUGGGCCUGUAGGCACCCCCCAGCAUGGGUGGCUGUUUUGGUGCAGCUACUGUCCUUUUUUCUGUCCUUUUGGGAUUUGUGCAUGCUUAUUAUCCUGUUUGCCUUGUACUUGGUAAUGAUGAGGCCUGACUUUGGGGACCUUCAAGUCCUGUAGCGGGGGCGGGUACUGUUGGCGGUUACUGUAGCGUGGUACCUUAUCACGUGUAUAUUACAAUUCGGAGAACUAACACAAGACGACGAUGACUGGUAAUUCCUUCUUCCAAGUACUCCAAAGCAGUCUUUUUGAAAGUGCAACCUUACACCAACUCUGCCGCUGUCUUUUUUUCAUAUGGAACUCAUGUGAAGAAUCGUACUUAGGUAGGCUGCAAAAAAUAAACAAAUUAAAUUAUUUUCACAGUGUCUAGAAAAGGCAGAGCAGUCAUUUAGACAAACAAAUAAGAGCUACAUUUCCGAGAACUAAUGUGAAUUCUGAAAAAAAAAAAAAAAACAUGCAAAAUAAAAGCUUUUUAGCAUAAGUGGGAGCUGCAGUUACUUAACAAAAUACCUGAAGGAAAGAAGAUGAAAUCUGCAACAUAUCUAAAAGACUACACUUGUACAGGAAUGUACCUCUUAUAAAUACUGUACAUGAACGAAUUCAUACACGCCUAUAUAUAAAUAUAUUGACCCUCCAUCUCUUUUCUUUGACAGCCUCUCCAGCUUAUAAUUGGCCUGCUCUACGGAUGUAAACGGAAUUUCACAAAUAAGAUAUACAUAAUUCAUGAAUGUGAAACACAAGGAAAAUACUUGAGACUUUUCUCGGUCUAGAACUCAUGUGAAGUCUCAUAUUCAGGUAGACUGAGAUAUUAGAUCAUUGUCUGGGAUAGUCCCAGAGUAAUUUAUGAGUUGAAUUAACUUCAGCUACUUUCUGAGAGAUCGCUUACGAGUUCAUUAAGACAAGCAUACAGAUUUGAGUUGAUAUCAGCCGGAACUGAACUAACUUAUAUAAAAGCAUAUGCAGUAUUUAUUAAAGACAAAAUAUACUUAUAUGGUUUUGAAACGUUUUAAGUUAUAGCAAGUCACCUCUUGGGAUUGCAAAGCAAGGGAUCAGUCCAGAAAUAUUCCGCAUCGUAACCACCCGAUUAAAAAUUUAAAAAUACGACACGGACUCAUAUUCAAUUCACAUUCGGCUCAAAUUCAAUCAAUAUAUUUAUGGAGACGUUUUUUUUCUUAUAUACGAUAAAAAUUUAAAAAUAACAAGAAAAUAAAAGUGUAUUAUUAUGAUUACCCAUUUUGAGAAUAUGUAUUACUCUUUUCUGAGAAAUGAAAAAGUAAUCUACAUAUAAAAAAUAAUAACAAUCUACAUAUGAUGCAUGUUUUAGAAUACAUAUUUUAAGAACGUAUAUCAUAAUAAUAUUUUUGAUUAUUUAAAAAAUAAUAUUCUUAUGAAAAUUAAAAGGAAAAAAAAGUACUUUUGUCCUUUCGCACCUCGACGCUUUAUUUUCCAUCAAACUUCAACUUGAAUUUUCUACUUUCCCUUGCUAUGACUUAUGAGUAAACUAAUUGAAGGCGGGGCUACACCACAAUCUGGUCAGCAGAGAUGUUCAAUAUUGACUCCGAAAAAAAAUGAAACGUUCAUAAUGAUUUACCUGAGAUCAGAUAUUGCAGCCAAGCUACUCAGGUUUUGAUAAAGUAAGAUUUAACAUAUAUGCAUAUCUAAAUUCUGGGUUUUAAAGAGAUGUUUUAAUAGAUUGACGACAAAUUAUUAUGUUUUUGCAUCUCUUAUUUCAAACUUGCUAUAUUUUCAGAAAGGAAACAUGUCUUUUGCUGUAUCAUCACUUGUUGAUAGUAAGUUUAACAACAUUAUUGCGGAGAACAAACUUGUAAAUUUCAUGAUAUUAGUCAUAGCUAUAUUGAAUAUUAUCGUCUACAAGCUCCUUGAAUAUCAUGAACCCAAAUACAAUGAUAAAGACAAGAAGCUGGUUUUGCUGCCACCAGGGCAGAUAUGUCGUCGCUUCUCACUUAAUGAGAUUUUAUGCGCGACACACAACUUUGAUGAUAAGUAUCUGAUCGGCCAGGGAGGCUCCGCGAAAGUCUACAAAGGAUUGGUUGAUGAUGGAGCAACUAGUGUUGCUAUCAAGAGAUUGAGCUUCAUUUCCAAACAAGCUGGAGGAGGUUCAGUGUUCUUGUCAGAAAUUGAGAUGCUUUCCAAGUUUAGGCAUGGUCACUUGGUCACCCUUAUAGGCUAUUGCGAGGAAUCGGAUGAAAUGAUACUUGUAUUUGAGUAUGUUCCUAGUGGUACACUAUCUGAUCACCUGCAUCGAAGUUUUGAGAAAGGUUAUGAGUCCCUGUCAUGGAUUCAGCGGUUGAGGAUUUGUAUUGGAGUUGCGCAGGGGUUGAACUACCUUCACACUGGAACGAGCACUCAUCAAAGAGUGAUACACCGUGAUGUGAAGAGUACUAAUAUUUUGUUGGAUGAUAAUUUGGAAGCUAAGAUCGCAGAUUUUGGAAUUUCCAAGAUUGUGGAAGCAAAUCAGGGAUACACUUAUGUGAGUACGGUUGUCAGGGGGACCUUCGGGUAUAUGGAUCCAGCAUAUUUUUUGACUGGCAGAUUGACACGGAAAUCAGAUGUGUAUGCUUUUGGAAUUGUGCUGUUUGAAGUUUUGUCUGGAAGAAGAGCGGUGGAUUUUAGUCUGGAUGAUGAGCAAUUAGGUUUAGCUGGAUGGGCAGAGCAUUGUGUCAAAGAAGGAAGGAUAAAUGAGAUAAUUGAUUCUGAUCCAAAGAUGCAGAUAUCACAAAGUUCUUUAUUGGCUUUUGUAAAAAUUGCAUGCCAAUGCCUAAAGAGAAAACCGAGUUGCCGACCAACAAUGGCUGAAAUCGUGGUAGUUCUUGAGUUUGCAUUGUCAUUGCACAGAAAUUCAGAUUCUACACUAGUUGAGGGGG
rnacentral:lncRNA from 1 species